rnacentral:lncRNA from 1 species
UUAAAGACUGUUGAUAGAAUACAUGUAUCACCUAGCUCCCUUUCUAUUAUUCUAUUAUCAUCUUAAUGUAAAACAUUACCAACUGGUUGUGGUUACAUACACGAGGUUGACGAAACACUAUCACUAUGGGAUUUUUUAAACCACAAAAGAUCUACCAAGAGUCGAGAGAGAGCGCAAUAGUAGCAGAUUGAACCUUGAUAAAUUGGCAUG